GGCGGGGUAGCUCAGUUGGUAGAGCAUGGGACUCAUAAACCCAAGGUCGUGGGUUCAAUCCCCACCCCCGUCA
rnacentral:tRNA from 1 species